AUUGAACGCUGGCGGCAGGCCUAACACAUGCAAGUCGAGCGGAUGAGGGAAGCUUGCUUCCCGAUUUAGCGGCGGACGGGUGAGUAAUGCCUAGGAAUCUGCCUAUUAGUGGGGGAUAACGUUCCGAAAGGAACGCUAAUACCGCAUACGUCCUACAGGAGAAAGUGGGGGAUCUUCGGACCUCACGCUAAUAGAUGAGCCUAGGUCGGAUUAGCUAGUUGGUGGGGUAACGGCUCACCAAGGCGACGAUCCGUAGCUGGUCUGAGAGGAUGAUCAACCACACUGGUACUGAGACACGGUCCAGAGUCCUACGGGAGGCAGCGGUGGGGAAUAUUGGACAAUGGGCGAAAGCGUGAUCCAGCCAUGCCGGGUGUGUGAAGAAGGUCUUCGGAUUGUAAAGCACUUUAAGUUGGGAGGAAGGGUUGUAAGCUAAUAUCUUGCAGCUUUGACGUUACCAACAGAAUAAGCACCGGCUAACUCUGUGCCAGCAGCCGCAGUAAGAC
rnacentral:rRNA from 1 species